GAUGACCGCUGACCGAAUUCUUCACAUGAGUACUUAAUUGGUGUGGCGGACGGGUGGGUAACGAGUAAAGAACUUGCCUCACAGCUAGGGACAACAUUUGGAAACGAAUGCUAAUAACUAAUACUGUGAGAGAGCUUUGGGUCCCAUUAGCUAGUUGGAGAGGUAACGGCUAACCAAGGCGAUGAUGGGUAGCAGGCCUGGGAGGGUGAUCGGCCAUAAGGGGAACUGGACACGGCCCUUAAGCCUACGGGGGGCAGCAGUGGGGAAUAUUGGACAAUGGACCAAAGUCUGAUCGGGAAAUCGUGGGGGCACGAUGAAGUUUUCGGAAUGAAAAGUGCUUUCGGUUGGGAAGCGGUGACAACAGAAGAAGUGACGGCUAAAUACGUGCCAGUAGCCGCGGUAAUUC
rnacentral:rRNA from 1 species